rnacentral:lncRNA from 1 species
UCGCAUCAAAGUCAGAGAAAAUUGUAUACAGCGAACUGAAGAAUCAGAAGGUAAAAAAAUUAUUGGCAACCACAACAGCGGUUCACAUAAUGAAUUCAGUACAUAUUUUUUUUUAAUUUUUAUAAAAAGAGUUCAGUAGAUCUUGAAUCACAAAUGAAAAGAAGUUCUGGUUAAAACCUAUUAAUUUGGCAGGCCCCAUCUCCUCACAUCUUCUGAAGAAUUGUUCUGAGAUGGUCCCAUGACCGUGGAAUUGUCGCAUUAAUUGACACUUUUUAAUCAUUCCAGGUGAGGAACAGCGUCAUUACAAAGCAGAUGACUUACUUUUCUCAGAGGAAAACCAUUAACAGUCUAAUGGAUGUGUUUAUCAGAUCAUUCUGUUUAGACUGAAAAGACACCGAAAUUCAGAGAGAUGAGCAUGUGAACAACCAGCUUAACAGGUGACACGUCAGAGUGGCCAAACCAGAUCCAUUCUUCCCAAAAGGGAAAAGAGAA